rnacentral:rRNA from 1 species
GACGUAGGGCGCGAGCGUUGUCCGGAUUUAUUGGGCGUAAAGAGCUCGUAGGCGGCUUGUUACGUCGACUGUGAAAACCCACGGCUCAACCGUGUGGUCUGCAGUCGAUACGGGCAGGCUAGAAUUCGGUAGGGGAGACUGGAAUUCCUGGUGUAGCGGUGAAAUGCGCAGAUAUCAGGAGGAACACCGGUGGCGAAGGCGGGUCUCUGGGCCGAUAUUGACGCUGAGGAGCGAAAGCGUGGGGAGCGAACAGG